GUUAGUUUCCUUUUUUUAUGGAACGGACGUGUCAAUCUAAGGAUAUUUCUCUUUCUUUCCUCAUCUUCUUUCUCCACCGUGUGGCUUUUAUCUUUGUUCCAAAUUCCAUCAACACUUCGAUCAUCUUGGUCUUGUCGAUGGUUCGCGCUGCUCAGCUCUCAUUUGGAACAUCGAUUGCACCACCAAACCUCCGACUCCCACUGUUCAUGGCGUAUGUUUAAUACGACAAUCGUUCAUCGUGUUAACCGAUUCACGGCCUGAAGACCCUCUUCGUAUGCCUCUCACUCCAUUUGCUUUAGAUUCCAUUCGAUGUUGGCAUUGGCGGGAGUCGGUCUCGACUGAUAGGGAAGCAUGAAGAAGCAAUGUCACCGAAUCUUCUUUUCUUUUGACUUUGGAGUGGAAAAGAAUGAGCGAGGUCCAGAGGUUGGUCGCGACUGAUAGGGAAGCACGAAGAAGCAAUGUCACAGAAUCCCACCACAAUCCGGGUCACCAGCGUGAUUUUGCCCAGUUUCAGGUCUCUUUAACAACUGGAAAGACUUCUGUAAACGUAAGAAAACAGAGCAAAAAUGGUUCCUAAUAAGCAAGCUGAAGGAGCAAUAGUUCCCGGGGAAAUGAAGGGUUCAAAUGAGCAAGAACAAGGAGAGGGGCAGGUAGGGGUAGAUCAGUCAGUGUCUGCCGUCAAGAACUUUCUUUGGCAUGGUGGUUCUGCUUAUAAUGGUCGGUUCAGUUGUGUUUCAAACCAGGUAGCACAAGUGUUGUUGAACUCCCAUACUCAUUCUCUCAAUUGGGUAUGCUUUUAGGAGUCAUCUUUCAAGUCUUUUAUGGACUCCUUGGUCUUGGAAGCUGGACUGCUCUUCAGUGUUCUCUAUGUCCAGUAUAGAGCCAGAAAGGAGACAGAGAAUGUCAGCUUCAGGAACCAUGUUAUUCAGAUGAUCCCACAUGGGAGGAUGUACCCUUACCCAAUGGUUGCAACGUUCCUGGUGGAUUCAUGUGGCGAAUCACCUUACACCAUGGUGACUGUGCAUCGAUUAUUAUAUCAAUAAGGAGAAAGAGGGGUGAUAAAAACAUGGAUGAUCGGAUCUAUUGUGUUUCUGAGCUUCAGUAAGGCACAAAGUUUGCUACUUCAAGUUACUGUUGCUUUGGCUGUGGCAGAAGUUGCAUUUGAGUUUGAACACGGGCUCUUUACACCACCUUUUGUGGACCCAACACUUUGAUUGAAUAACUGAAUAUGAUGGAAUAACCCCUUUCCUUAAAUUCCGAAAUAAUGUAUAAAAAUUUUGGUAGAUAUUCAUAUAUUUAAUGUAAUUUGAAACUUAUUCUAUCUUUUUAUACUUUUAUCGGUUAAAUUGUUAAUAAAUUUUCUAUUUUAGUUACACCAUUUUCAUCCAACUCUUGCCAUUUUAUUUUUACUUAUGCGUUUCAAGGGAAUACGUUGUAAUGUGUCUAUUGCAAACUGAUUAGGUUUUAUUUUUUAUACAGAGGAAGAUAAAGAUCUGGAAUGAUUUUUUUUCUCUCCACAACAGUCUCCGGCCAACAUUCCAGAAGUUGUGAUUCUACAAACAACCUUGCAUGCCAAAUCCCAUUCAAUUUGCAAUCAAUUGCUAUGAACAUCCAACAGUACGUCUGUCCAUACUACUAGACAAGAAACUCAAGAAAGCGUAUCAGGAGAUGUACCAAAUUAUCAAACAUGAUGCAUAGGGAGAAAUACUCUAUUUCAACGUUCUUUUUUAAAUAUUAUCCGUCUUUUUCAUCUUUUGCUUGUGUACGUAUGUAGUCAGUUAGGAUGCAAAUUUUUAUGUUUUCUCACUGUUUCUAUUGAAUAACAUGUUUUAAACCAGUUCCAUUA